CUGACCACUGAAGAAAAAAGCAGCAAUGCAGACGCUGUCUUUAUUAAUUUAUAUCCAGACUUUCAGACCUUACAGCUAAGGAAGAAGGGUCUACAAGGUCCCAGCACAGCCACCGGAUAUGCUAUAUCACUUAACUUUUACCUGGAGAACUCUUUACCUUUUAUCUGACUACAGCUUGAAUGGGGGAGACACAGUUUGUCCUCAGUCCUGGGCUCAGUCCCUCUUAAGAAAGCUAAUAAAUUGAAAGCAUCUGUAUUUUCUGGCCGGUGUACAGACGUGAGGUUUGUAACUGGCUAGACCUGCCAAAGAGGGCCCAAGGGAGCCGCACACACGGGGAAGAAAGCCAAAGAGCACAAGAUGUGAACCAGAUGAGUCUCCGCAAACCUUUCAAGAAAUGAUUCACUCAAUGUGUCGACUAAACCAGGAGUUCUCAACCUUUUUGCUUCUGAGGAAUGUUGUCCUAUUUCUGGAUUAAUAUUA